UUUUUAUAGAUAGGCGAAGUGUUCGCUUCCAGUUGGAGUUGGGAAGGCGCGUGGAAGCUGCAAAGCGAGUCAAGGAGAAACGUUUCGCCUGGUCCAAAAGGGUGGAGGGACGUCGCGAUGCAGAGGCGGUGGUCAGGACAUUCCCUGGGCAGCAUUUGAUUUUGGCGCAUACGUGAGAUUUGUCGGAUCACGGAGGAUUUCUAGGUUUUUUUUGUUGUAUAGACGGAGAAGAAUUGAAUCGAUUGGGUUGUCAGCGAUUGCCCUGAGGAAUUUGAAUGAUGGCGUCGUGAGUGUGAUGGAUUCUACCAGAAGUUGGUUCAAGAAAUUCCAGCUAAGAGAGGGUAAAGUGAAGCCUGUUGUUUCGAAGAAAAAGGAAAUGGAGAG